rnacentral:rRNA from 1 species
GACGAACGCUGGCGGCGUGCUUAACACAUGCAAGUCGAACGGAAAGGCCCUGCUUUUGUGGGGUGCUCGAGUGGCGAACGGGUGAGUAACACGUGAGUAACCUGCCCUUGACUUUGGGAUAACUUCAGGAAACUGGGGCUAAUACCGGAUAGGAGCUCCUGCUGCAUGGUGGGGGUUGGAAAGUUUCGGCGGGUGGGGAUGGACGCGCGGCUUAUCAGCUUGUUGGUGGGGUAGUGGCUUACCAAGGCUUUGACGGGUAGCCGGCCUGAGAGGGUGACCGGCCACAUUGGGACUGCGAUACGGCGCAGACUCCUACGGGAGGCAGCAGUGGGGAAUAUUGCACAAUGGGCGGAAGCCUGAUGCAGCAACGCCGCGUGCGGGAUGACGGCCUUCGGGUUGUAAACCGCUUUCGCCUGUGACGAAGCGUGAGUGACGGUAAUGGGUAAAGAAGCACCGGCUAACUACGUG